CCCUACGGGGGGCAGCAGUGAGGAAUAUUGGUCAAUGGGCGAGAGCCUGAACCAGCCAAGUCGCGUGAAGGAUGACGGCCCUACGGGUUGUAAACUUCUUUUGUCAGGGAGCAAUUGGGUCCACGCGUGGGCUUAGCGAGAGUACCUGAAGAAAAAGCAUCGGCUAACUCCGUGCCAGCAGCCGCGGUAAUACGGAGGAUGCGAGCGUUAUCCGGAUUUAUUGGGUUUAAAGGGUGCGCAGGCGGCGAGUUAAGUCAGCGGUAAAAUUUCGGGGCUCAACCCCGACGAGCCGUUGAAACUGGCUU
rnacentral:rRNA from 1 species